AGUUUUGCACGCGACUGGCGAUAGGCUGGCGGCUUUAGAAACAAAUUCAAAGCUUGCCCGGCUGACGUGGAAUACCACUGGGAAGCGUGCCGCACUGUUUAACUGGUGCGUUCAGCCGUUCGCCUGGGCAGCCCUG
rnacentral:ncRNA from 10 species